rnacentral:rRNA from 1 species
GUGGGGAAUCUUCCGCAAUGGACGAAAGUCUGAUGGAGCGACGCCGCGUGAGUGAUGAAGGCCUUCGGGUCGUAAAGCUCUGUCAUCGGGGACGAACGGCCUCAGCAGGUAAUGGCUGGGGAUUGACGGUACCCGAGAAGGAAGCCACGGCUAACUACGUGCCAGCAGCCGCGGUAAUACGUAGGUGGCAAGCGUUGUCCGGAAUUAUUGGGCGUAAAGCGCGCGCAGGUGGGAUCUUAAGUCCAUUUUGAAAGUUCGGAGCUCCACUCCGUGAUGGGAUGGAAACUGGGAUUCUUGAGUACCGGAGAGGAAAGCGGAAUUCCCCGUGUAGCGGUGAAAUGCGUAGAUAUGGGGAGGAACACCAGUGGCGAAGGCGGCUUUCUGGACGGUGUCUGACACUGAGGCGCGAAAGCCAGGGGAGCGAACGGGAUUAGAUACCCGGGUAGUCC